CUCACACCAGCACAUAACAUGUACAAGGAAAAUAACUGAUUUUUCAACUAAAAUCACAAUAAACCUGUUUUUUAAGCUUUAAAUUACACUAGAGGAAAACAUUGCACAUAGGGAUGGUAUAACACAGUUACACUCAAAUAGCUCUCUGCCAUGACCUUAAUUAAAUGAAUGAUGUGAAAUAUCAUAUUUACCACCAACCUUCAUCGGUCAAAACUUUAGCAAUCUUAUACGGUCGCAAAAAUCAAACAUUUCUCCCAGCACAGACUAGUGCUAAUUCAAAUAUCACACCAGCACACAAUCAGUACUGAGAGAAUUUAUUUGAUUCAUUCCUAGAAAUAAAAAAAAUACUUGCAAGUACCAUGAAGCUUGACCAUCUCACAUGGCUAGUGAUGGAUACAGAAAUUAUCAAAUAGGGGGCACACUUUAGUAAUGCUUCAGUGAUUCCCUAUAUAAUCAACCACAAAAGGGGGGACCUAACCCUAACCCCAGGGUUACAUGGAUCCGCCAUUGUUGGCAAUCAUACCACAUUUCCUUAUUUUUAUAUUUGGACACA
rnacentral:lncRNA from 1 species